rnacentral:tRNA from 2 species
AGUCCCGUAGUGUAGCGGUCCAUCAUCUCAGGUUUUGGUCCUGGGGACCCUGGUUCAAAUCCGGGCGGGACUACCA